rnacentral:rRNA from 1 species
CAGCCGCCGCGGGAACACGAAGGGGGCUAGCGUUGCUCGGAAUGACUGGGCGUAAAGGGCGCGUAGGCGGUUUGUACAGUUGGGUGUGAAAUUCCUGGGCUUAACCUGGGGGCUGCACCCAAGACGUGCAGGCUUGAGUGUGGAAGAGGGUCGUGGAAUACCCAGUGUAGAGGUGAAAUUCGUAGAUAUUGGGAAGAACACCGGUGGCGAAGGCGGCGACCUGGUCCAUUACUGACGCUGAGGCGCGAAAGCGUGGGGAGCAAACAGGAUUAGAUACCCCCGUAGUCCCUGUCUCUUAUAA